rnacentral:rRNA from 1 species
AUUGAACGCUGGCGGCAUGCCUUACACAUGCAAGUCGAACGGCAGCACGGGUGCUUGCACCUGGUGGCGAGUGGCGCACGGGUGAGUAAUACAUCGGAACAUGUCCUGUAGUGGGGGAUAGCCCGGCGAAAGCCGGAUUAAUACCGCAUACGAUCCACGGAUGAAAGCGGGGGACCUUCGGGCCUCGCGCUAUGGGGUUGGCCGAUGGCUGAUUAGCUGGUUGGUGGGGUAAAGGCCUACCAAGGCGACGAUCAGUAGCUGGUCUGAGAGGACGACCAGCCACACUGGGAGUGAGACACGGACCAGACUCCUACGGGAGGCAGCAGUGGGGAAUGUUGGAAACUGGGGGGAAGCCUGAUCCAGCAAUGCAGCGUGUGUGAAGCAGGCCUUCGGGUUGUAAAGCACUUUUGUCCGGAAAGAAAUCCUUGACUCUAAUCCAGUCGGGGGAUGACGGUACCGGAAGAAUAAGCACCGGCUAACUACGUG